CGCGGGGUGGAGCAGUUGGCAGCUCGUCGGGCUCAUAACCCGAAGGUCACAGGUUCGAGUCCUGUCUCCGCAACCA
rnacentral:tRNA from 1 species